CCCAUCCUGCUUGGCCUUAUGAAGGAUGCCUCUGUGUUUGUUUUGCAGAGGAGGUGUUUUAUACUUAGAGCAGGUUCCUGGUACCUUGAGAGACCUGAGACAUGGACUCGUGAGUUCUUGAUAAUUCAGAAGCAGCUGGAAUUUGCUAAGCAGCGUGGGCAUAUACUGCAGUCCUAAUUCACAAAACUGCUACAUCAUCAUGAUUCCUGUGAUAAUAGACAAGAAAUCGUAAGUCCUUAUUUUGUUGUGUUACAAAUCUGAAUAUUUUAGCAAUAUGACUAUGAAGUAGGUGUGGAC
rnacentral:lncRNA from 1 species